AGCCCACGGUCAACCGUGGAGGGUCAUUGGAAACUGGGAGACUUGAGUGCAGAAGAGGAAAGUGGAAUUCCAUGUGUAGCGGUGAAAUGCGUAGAGAUAUGGAGGAACACCAGUGGCGAAGGCGACUUUCUGGUCUGUAAAGACAUGAGGCGCGAAAGCGUGGGGAGCAAACAGGAUUAGAUACCCUGGUAGUCCACGCCGUAAACGAUGAGUGCUAAGUGUUAGAGGGUUUCCGCCCUUUAGUGCUGAAGUUAACGCAUUAAGCACUCCGCCUGGGGAGUACGGCCGCAAGGCUGAAACUCAAAGGAAUUGACGGGGGCCCGCACAAGGGGAGAGCAUGUGGUUUAAUUCGAAGCAACGCGAAGA
rnacentral:rRNA from 1 species